UACGUAGGUGGCGAGCGUUGUCCGGAAUUACUGGGUGUAAAGCGCGUGUAGGCGGCAGGCCAAGUCGGUGGUGAAAGCGCCCGGCUCAACUGGGCGAGGUCCAUGGAAACUGGUCAGCUGGAGGACGGUAGAGGCGAGUGGAAUUCCCGGUGUAGUGGUGAAAUUCGUAGAUAUCGGGAGGAACACCGGUGGCGAAGGCGGCGAUCUGGGUAGAUACUGACGCUGAGGUGCGAAAGCGUGGGGAGCAAACAGG
rnacentral:rRNA from 1 species